rnacentral:rRNA from 1 species
UAUUGGGCGUAAAGAGCUCGUAGGCGGUUUGUUGCGUCGGCUGUGAGAACCUGAGGCUCAACCUCAGGCCUGCAGUCGAUACGAGCAGACUAGAGUGUUGCAGGGGAGACUGGAAUUCCUGGUGUAGCGGUGAAAUGCGCAGAUAUCAGGAGGAACACCGGUGGCGAAGGCGGGUCUCUGGGCAACAACUGACGCUGAGGAGCGAAAGCGUGGGGAGCGAACAGGAUUAGAUACCCUGGUAGUCCACGCCGUAAACGUUGGGCGCUAGGUGUGGGGCUCAUUCCACGAGUUCCGUGCCGCAGCUAACGCAUUAAGCGCCCCGCCUGGGGAGUACGGCCGCAAGGCUAAAACUCAAAGGAAUUGACGGGGGCCCGCACAAGCGGCGGAGCAUGUUGCUUAAUUCGAUGCAACGCGAAGAACCUUACCUAGGCUUGACAUGCACGGAAAUCCUCCAGAGAUGGUGGGUCCGUAAGGGCCGUGCACAGGUGGUGCAUGGUUGUCGUCAGCUCGUGUCGUGAGAUGUUGGGUUAAGUCCCGCAACGAGCGCAACCCUCGUUCUAUGUUGCCAGCACGUGAUGGUGGGGACUCAUAGGAGACUGCCGGGGUCAACUCGGAGGAAGGUGGGGAUGACGUCAAAUCAUCGUGCCCCUUAUGUCUAGGGCUGCAAACAUGCUACAAUGGCCGGUACAAAGGGCUGCGAUACCGCGAGGUGGAGCGAAUCCCAAAAAGCCGGUCUCAGUUCGGAUUGGGGUCUGCAACUCGACCCCAUGAAGUUGGAGUCGCU